rnacentral:tRNA from 1 species
ACGGACUUAAAAUCCGUCGACUUUAGAAAUCGUGAGGGUUCAAGUCCCUCUAUCCCCA